rnacentral:rRNA from 1 species
AUUGAACGCUGGCGGCAGGCCUAACACAUGCAAGUCGCACGAGUGGCUGACGGGUGAGUAAUGUCUGGGAAACUGCCUGAUGGAGGGGGAUAACUCCUGGAAACGGUAGCUAAUAACGCAUACCAUCAGAUUUGACAAGAUGGGAUUAGCUUGGUGGUGGGGUAAAGGCGCACAAAGGCGACGAUCCCUAGCUGGUCUGAGAGGAUGACCAGCCACACUGGAAAGGAGACACGGUCCAGACUCCUACGGGAGGCAGCAGUGGGGAAUAUGGCACAAGGGGCGCAAGCCUGAUGCAGCCAUGCGGGGUGUAUGAAGAAGGCGUUCGGGUUGGAAAGUACGUGCAGCGGGGAGGCGUUACCCGCAGAAGAAGCACCGGCUAACUCCGUGCCAGCAGCCGCGGUAAUUC